GCGAAAGUGGCGGAACUGGCAGACGCACCGGACUUAGGAUCCGGCUCCGGCGACGGCAUGGGAGUUCGACUCUCCCCUUUCGCACCA
rnacentral:tRNA from 1 species